rnacentral:tRNA from 1 species
UACCUGGUGGUCUAGUGGGUAAGACUUUGCACUCUUAAUGCAAGCAGCCCAAAUUCGACCCCUGGUCAUGGAA